CGAGCCCGUUUUCUCCCUCCACAACUCACCGCUUACCGAUUUUUAUUCUUCAUCUUCGUCGUCAUCUUCCAAUAACCCUAAGCCAGACAAGAAAAAUCUCGGAGGAAACACCGUCAGCCAUCGAUUCACCACCGUCAGCCAUCGAUUCUCCCCCAUCACUCAUCAGCCAUCGAUUUUCACUAUUCCACCAUACUCUUUUCCAGUCGUCGGCCUGGAACUCAGAUACUCUAUACAAAGAUUUAUCGAUUUCACCACUGGAAAGAGGAAAUUAAACCUGAUACAGUUGAUGUCUUCGUUGGAAUCUUCGAAGGUAUGUAUACGAAUUCUUCUUUAUUUUGAGCUAUUUUCACUAACUUAUUUGUUCUAUUUGAAUCAGAAGUUUGGAAACAUAGGGAUUUUGGGCUGAGAUUUCUUCGAGUGUGAUUGAGGUGGUUUUGAUAAAAUCUGAGAUUUAUGUUUAAGGAAAAAAACGUUAUCGAAUACAACAGAAGAAGCCUCUGUGGAGGAAAUGUAAUUUCCUUAUAUAAUGAAUUGACGGAUGUCAAUAGUAGAAAAGCUUCCAGUGGAAAUGAGGUGCUCCAAUAUAAGCCACCCUUCUCUAAUGAAGAACAAGAGGAGAGAAGAAUGUCUGACUGGUCUGAUUUAGCUUCAAGUGUAACAUCUGCUGCUGAUAUCCAGGUAUUAUUUUCUUCAGGGUCAUCUUUGUUAGGGUCUUAUGUGAGAAAGGGGACUGGCAUUUUAUUUGAGCACUUAGCAUCCACAUCUGCUUGGAUAUGAUACCUAAUUUUCCAAAGUUCACUUCUUAAAUUAUGUACUUUAGACUUCUCUUCUAGCACUUUAAGUAGUAAUUUCUUGAUUAUCUUUAUGGAGUCUCUUUCUCUUGGGCUUUUUCACAUUUGGUUGAUUGAUAUUGGUAAUGAUUACUUUGAUAGCAGAAUGUCAAUAGUAGCAAACCUUCUCAUCAAAAUAUGGUGGAAGCAAUUGAUUCUCUUUAUGCUUCUUGUUUCAUCUGAUAUUAUGAUUUAGGCUAUCUUCAUUUUGUUUGUUUUUCUAUAUUUUUAUUCAGUUUGUUUAAUCCACCAAAAUUCCUUUACCAAAUCUACUGGAAAGAUGAAUUGUGAAUUCCAAUUCCAACCCACACUUCAACUAGGUUACUCAGUGAGAAUAACAAAAACUAAGAAAUUUUCAAGGUAAAUGGUUAUAUUAUUUUUUUUUAAUCUACUGUCCAACCCACAUGCCAUUAACCACGCACAGGAUUAUAGGAUAUUUUAUUAGUAGUAGUAUUAUAAUGUUUACAGGGACUGAAAUUCUAUCAUUUUUGUUUAGCUCACAUAUAUUUAUUCUACUCUAUGAAUUUAAUGUGUUUAAUUGUGUGUUGCUUUUCACCAGAUGCAUAGUUUCAUAACAUGUCUCUCACAUAAGACAUGAAGUGUAGACCCUGACCAAUUUCACGAUGAGCUGAAAAUUAAUUAUAAUUAAAAGAAUGGUGACUAAAAUAGUUGAGCUAUUAACCCUUAGGUCAAAAGAGUAAGUCAACUCCUCAUAAAGGUAAUUCUUGACACCGCAUUUCUUCUAAAAAAAUCUAAAAGUUUAGCAAAGAUAAAGUAGAUACUUGCAUUGACUUUAAGAAAUUAUGUUGUACCAUUUCUUGAAGGAAUAUGGUUUUAUUAUAAGUUGAUAAUGCAUUAAUUGUUAUAGAAAUGACCGGAGGGAACAUGAUGUUGAGUUUUAUAAAUAUCUUAAUGAAGAUUACUCCAAUAGCUAACUCUGGAAACUAUCUGCUCUAUUUCUUUAAAGAAUAUCUGCCCUGUAUCUUUGAAAAGUAAAUAUGAUAUCUCUAUUUAAAACCAAGUGUGUAAUUUUUGUUGUAUUACUUAGGGGAAUAUGGGAGAAUUUGUUAUGGAGACUAUUAAGGCUAAUUAUAGAGUUAAUUUAGGCAUGCUCAACAUUCAUUUUGCAAUGUAUUUAUUUUAUAUAAGUUUAUGUUGCUCCUUUGUGGUCUUUGACAUAUAUACUAGAUUUAGUGCUUAACUUUGGUGAAACUUUUGCUAUAAUAUUGCUAUUUGACAACAAUACUAUUGCCCUCAUGUUCAUAUUCUUUAUUCAUGAUGGGAGCUUUUAAGUUAUCAUGCUUUUUUACUUUUAGAAUAUUUUAUAUUUGUUUUGAUUAACUAUUAGUAUUUAAUAAUUAUUGGUUGAGUGCUGUUUUGAAAGCCAAUAAUAUUGACGUUACCUUGGUGUAGUUAGUGGACAUUUAUAAAUGUUUCUUGUUACACCUCACUUAUGUAGAAGUGUGGUUUACUCAAUUAUUAAACUAAUAUAUAUUGAGCUCAUACAUCAAAUUAAUAUUCCAUAGACAAAGAAGCCUAUGAAAAAGAAAGUUCUUUUUGUGAAGAAUGGUGCAGGUGGAACAUGCUGAAUUCAGGUACAUGCUCCAUUAAACUCAAAUUUUGAUCUUUUUUGGAAAGUUAUUAAAGGUUCGUAAUUUCAUAUGCUUCGGGAAUUUCUCAUUUAUUCCAUUGUUGUUCAUGUUCUUGCCUUUCGUUGCAUUUAUACUUAGUUAUGUGUCUGACAUGAUUUAAUUAUUUAUACUUUACAUUGUUAGCAUAGAUGCUAUAUAUAUCUAAUAUGAAACUGUUACUCUUAUAUGUGAUAAGUAAUCUAAGACUAUUCUUUUUUACUUAAAAAUAUAAAUUUCAUAAGAAUUUAUUAUGACUUUAAAAAUAUAAAUGUACUAAAUGGCUUAUGGCUCAGUGGUCAAGAACAAUAUACAUAAUAAACAUGAUUAUUCUUCUAUCUCUACUUAAUUUUGAAAUGUGUACCUCAAAACUCCACUCAUGCUUUUGUUCUUAUUUUAUAUUAACCAUUUUUAGUUGAAAUUAUAUGUAGAGACCUCUUUUAUAUUACCCAUUUAGAGUUGAACAUCUAUGUAGAGACUUCUUUUAUAUUAACCAUUUUGAGUUGAACAUUUAUGCAGGGACCUAUCUAAGUGGCUUAUUCUCAAUAAUUAUCAUAGUUUAAGCCUCUAAGAGACCUCUACUAAGUUCAACUUAUGUCAUAUUAUAUUGGUAUAUGAGUUUGUAGGACUAAUAGAACUCAAUUUUGCAAGUAGCCAUGAGGUGAACAUGUCAUGGUUGUAAAGUACUUUUUUAGACCUUGUUGUGAUAUUUGUAAACAAGUGGAUUUGAUUUAAAAUAUUUGCUAUUGAUGGAUCAUAAUAUA